rnacentral:rRNA from 1 species
AAUGAACGCUGGCGGCGUGGAUUAGGCAUGCAAGUCGAACGAGAAAAUACCUUCGGGUAUGAGUACAGUGGCGAAAGGGUUAGUAAUACAUGGAUAACCUGCCUCUAAGACGGGGAUAACUCGAAGAAAUUCGGGCUAAUACCCGAUGAUAUCAAGUGUCUCUGGACAUUUGAUCAAAUGGUGGUUUUACAAUUUCUGCUUAGAGAGGGGUUCAUGGCCUACUAGUUUGUUGGUGAGGUAAUGGCUCACCAAGACGAUGAUGGGUAGCCGGGCUGAGAGGCCGAUCGGCAACACUGGGACUGAGACACUGCCCAGACUCCUACGGGAGGCUGCAGUCGAGAAUCUUCUGCAAUGCGCGAAAGCGUGACAGAGCGACGCCGCGUGCGGGAUGAAGGCCUACGGGUUGUAAACCGCUGUCAGAGGCUAUAAAACGUUGGAGUAACGAUCCAACCUGAUGUUAACCUCAAAGGAAGUCAUGGCUAACUUCG